AGCUUAUUGUUAUUUUAUAAUAAGUUAUUUCUGCCCUGUGAAAAAUAUUUUUAACGGCCGCAGUACUUUGACUGUGCUAAGGUAGCAAAAUAAAUAGGCUUUUAAUUGAAGUCGAGAAUGAAAGAAAAUCAUAAUAAUAUACUGUCUUGUUUUUAUUUUUUAAAAUUUACGUUUUUGGUGAAAAUUCCAAUACUAUAUAUAAUAGACGAGAAGACCCUAAGAAUUAUUUAAUCUAAUGAAUAUUUAUUAUUAAUUAUUUUUUUGUUGGGGCAACAAUAAAUAUAAAAUUUAUUAAAAUUUAUUUUACUUAAGAAAUUUUAUUCUAAAAGAAAUUAAUUACCUUAGGGAUAACAGCAUAAUUAUUUUAUUAGGUUAUGACCUCGAUGUUGGAUUAAGGAAAGAAUUUAAUUAACCGUUAUAUUCACAGGUUCUGUUCGAACUAUCUAUCCUUACAU
rnacentral:rRNA from 1 species